UUCCAGACUCCUACGGGAGGCAGCAGUGGGGGAUAUUGCACAAUGGGGGGAACCCUGAUGCAGCGACGCCGCGUGGGUGAAGAAGCGCCUCGGCGCGUAAAGCCCUGUCAGCAGGGAAGAAAAUGACGGUACCUGAAGAAGAAGCCCCGGCUAACUACGUGCCAGCAGCCGCGGUAAUACGUAGGUGGCAAGCGUUGUCCGGAUUUACUGGGUGUAAAGGGCGCGUAGCCGGGCUGACAAGUCAGAUGUGAAAUCCGGGGGCCCAACCCCCGAACUGCUCUGGAAACUGUGCGGCUAGAGUACUGGAGGGGCAGGCGGAAUUCCUAGUGUAGCGGUGAAAUGCGUAGAUAUUAGGAGGAACACCAGUGGCGAAGGCGGCCUGCUGGACAGUAACUGACGUUGAGGCUCGAAAGCGUGGGGAGCAAACAGGAUUAGAUACCCGCGUACG
rnacentral:rRNA from 1 species